GACAGAGGUGCCGAGCGUUAGGCGGAAUCACUGGGCUUAAAGCGUGUGUAGGCGGAGUUCUAAGUACCUUGUGAAAUCCCACGGCUUAACCGUGGAACUGCUUGGUAUACUGGUUCUCUUGGGCCAUCUAGGGGCUAGCGGAACAAACGGUGGAGCGGUGAAAUGCGUAGAUAUCGUUUGGAACGCCAAUGGUGAAAACAGCUAGCUGGGGAUGUGCCGACGCUGAGACACGAAAGCCAGGGGAGCGAACGGG
rnacentral:rRNA from 1 species